GGGUUUAGCUCAGCAGUAGAGUACGUGUUUGGCACACACGAGGCCCUGGGUUCAAUCCCCAGUAUAUCUC
rnacentral:tRNA from 1 species